GUUUUAGAUUCCAUAAUCAAAAUUUCAAAUUGAUUUAACGUUCAUGGGCAUAAGUAGGUGAAUAUUUCAAAUAAUUUUUAUCAAAAUUGUAUGAUACUAAUUUGCCAAUUGGUGCUAGGUAAAUUGUUGUGUUGUAUGUGAAAAUCAAAUAAUUUCAGAGGGCGGAGUGGCGGUUGUAUCUUUCAACGGAUAAGAUUGAGAUAAGAGAAUCUAAUCCAACGAACGGUUCAUAAGUGAUUAAAUCUAACUUUGCCAUAAUUUGAACAUUUUUAGGUUGAAAGGUUCAUAAAAAAAUAAAAAAUAAAAAAAUAAAAAUAAAGAUAGGAAGUCCAAAAUUCAACUUAAGAAAAGUUAACACAAAAAAAAUUUAUUGCAUAAUCAAAUUACUGCAUAAAUAAAGAUAGAGAGCCCCAUAUAGAGUCCGAAUGAAAUAGUCUAUCAUCGGGGGAGAUACUUCUAUAAAGAUUCUUUGGAGCUCUAAAAUAGACUAUAUCUAUCACUUUUUCAACACCAUAUAAAACCCCUUAUUGAAGAUACUGUAACAACCCAACGGAUAGAUUUGUCAUCCUACUCGACAGAUGCUCUGCCGCAUACUCGUGGACUCAAAAGAGCUUUGUUAGUCGACCUACAGGCCUUGCCUUUAAACUCAAGAUAUAUAAAGACCAAAGGUAACGAGACAGCUCGUAUGAGCAUUGCCAGUCAUAGUUUUGCAUACUUGCAGGGAAGGACUCUGUCAGCUUUGUACAUCCACCAUCUCAGACUCCUUCACAGAGAUCACAGUUUUCAUGGAUCUGAAGAUCAACAUUUCAAAGAAUUUUUUUGGGUUUCGUAGUUGUCCUUUUAACUUAUUUUCUGGGUUUCUUUUUCUUAUUUCACUUGCAAUAAUUGGUGUUUGGCGAAUUUCAAUGCUCGAGCCUUCUCUGUUUGUAUUUUGUUGCGCCCAAUUUUCAAUAUUAGGGUCAAUGAAAUGAAUGUAUCGCCACUCAGUUCUUUGAUUUGCCAUUAAAGUUGGAAAAUAGUUUGAUGCGUU